rnacentral:rRNA from 1 species
GGAUGCGGAUAUACCAGCCACUUAAUGCAACCGGAUCCCAUCCGAGAACUCCGAAGUUAAAGCGACUGCUUGGGCGAAGCAGUUAUACAGCGAUGGGUGAACCCCCUGGGAAGUUCCCUCGUGUUGCAUCCC